rnacentral:rRNA from 1 species
UUAGUGGCGGACGGGUGAGUAACGCGUGGAAAACCUGCCGUAUACUGGGGGAUAACACUUAGAAAUAGGUGCUAAUACCGCAUAAGCGCACAGCUUCGCAUGAAGCGGUGUGAAAAACUCUGGUGGUAUACGAUGGUUCCGCGUCUGAUUAGCUAGUUGGUGGGGUAAUGGCCUACCAAGGCAACGAUUAGUAGCCGGCCUGAGAGGGUGAACGGCCACAUUGGGACUGAGACACGGCCCAAACUCCUACGGAAGGCAGCAG